ensembl:lncRNA
CCCCCAGCCAGGUGAGGAGAUGGGACCGCCGGUCAUGGCGCCGACAGCUAGACAGCAGUGCCUCGGACUCCCCAGCAUCUGAUGGCAGUGUCAUGCUCAGCCCACUCUAUACCCACUCCCCCUUCCUCUCUCCCACAGCUACCAGCACUCCUCCCCACCCUGCUCCUCUUUCUAACACAUCUCCCAACAUCCCAAUAUUUUCCCCUUCCUUCUCUCUCAGUACGCCUUCCAGUUGUCCUAGCACGCCACUUUACCCCCACUCUUUCACCUCCAGUGCCCCUGGCACCCCAUUACGAAGUCAGGUGACAUCUUCCAGUGCCCCUUGUACCCCAUUACGAAGUCAGGUGACAUCUUCCAGUGCCCCUUGCACCCCAUUACGAAGUCAGGUGACAUCUUCCAGUGCCCCUGGCACCCCAUUACGAAGUCAGGUGACAUCUUCCAGUGUUUCUGGCACCCCAUUACGAAGUCAGGUGACAUCUUCCAGUGCUCCUGGCACCCCAUUACGAAGUCAGGUGACAUCUUCCAGUGUUUCUGGCACCCCAUUACGAAGUCAGGUGACAUCUUCCAGUGCCCCUGGCACCCCAUUACGAAGUCAGGUGACAUCUUCCAGUGCCCCUGGCACCCCAUUACGAAGUCAGGUGACAUCUUCCAGUGCCCCUGGCACCCCAUUACGAAGUCAG